rnacentral:misc_RNA from 1 species
GAUGAAGAACGUAGCGAAAUGCGAUAAGUAGUGUGAAUUGCAGAUUUCAGUGAAUCAUCGAAUCUUUGAACGCACAUUGCGCCCUUUGGUAUUCCUUAGGGCAUGCCUGUUCGAGCGUCAUUUCACCACUCAAGCCUGGCUUGGUGUUGGGCGACGUCCCCUUUGGGGACGCGCCUCGAAACGCUCGGCGGCGUGGCACCGGCUUUAAGCGUAGCAGAAUCUUUCGCUUUGGAAGUCGGGGCCCCGUCUGCCGGAAGACCUACUCGCAAGGUUGACCUCGGAUCAGGCAGGGAUACCCGCUGAACUUAAGCAUAUCAAUAAGCGGAGGA